rnacentral:rRNA from 1 species
CCUACGGGCGGCAGCAGUGAGGAAUAUUGGUCAAUGGGCGCAAGCCUGAACCAGCCAAGUCGCGUGAGGGAUGACGGUCCUAUGGAUUGUAAACCUCUUUUGUCGGGGAGCAAGGCCCGCCACGUGUGGCGGGAAGGAGAGUACCCGAAGAAAAAGCAUCGGCUAACUCCGUGCCAGCAGCCGCGGUAAUACGGAGGAUGCGAGCGUUAUCCGGAUUUAUUGGGUUUAAAGGGUGCGUAGGCGGAAGGUUAAGUCAGCGGUCAAAUGUCGGUGCUCAACACCGGCCUGCCGUUGAAACUGGUCGUCUUGAGUGAGCGAGAAGUAUGCGGAAUGCGUGGUGUAGCGGUGAAAUGCAUAGAUAUCACGAAGAACUCCGAUUGCGAAGGCAGCAUACCGGCGCUCAACUGACGCUGAGGCACGAAAGCGUGGGGAUCGAACAGGAUUAGAUACCCCUGUAGUC